UAGCUCAGUUGAUAGAGCAUGGUGUUUGCAAUGCCAGGGUUGUGGGUUCGUUUCCCAU
rnacentral:tRNA from 1 species